CUGUUAGGUUGGCUACAAUAACAAUGUGCCUAUUGAAAAGGCAAAAGAAAGAAGGGUCUCAUUUCAAAAAUACUUUUCCUUCGAGCGGCGUGUCGUAUGCAUCACAGCACGGAAAACAAACGUUAACUUUAGAAGUGCAUAACUUUCAUAAAAAGUGGUCAAUUUGAGUUUUGUAAAAUAGAUACUAUUCUUGGAGUUUGCUUUAGAUUCACAUAAUCAGCGACCUCAAAAACUUCGAGAUACCAACUUUUGUCUAAAUUAAAGUACGGUUUCAUAUUUUGACCACGUUUUUUGAGAUUUUGGACCAAUGUACUCUGUGUCAGGUUUCAAGAGCACAAUGUCAAAAAAUUCUCACAUGCAACCAACAACAGAUCAACCAGAUGCUAUAAAGAAAGGCUUCACGACAAUAACAAAAACAUGUGUACAGUGCAACAAUUAUCUUACAUAUCGAUGCAAUUUUUGCAAUGUAACGAUUUCUAUACCUCAAGGUGUAGAAACCAGUUUGCUGCAACAACAUUUGGAGGCCAGGCAUGCAAAUGAAGCAAGCAAAUUUUCGUGCAGAAAUGAUGUUGCAGCAUCACAUAGAAACCGAGCAUGCACAUCAAGGAAGCAUAUGUCCUGCAUGCAGAAGAAAUUAGUUUUCACGUGAGACCGUCUUACACUCUCAGACAUUUCAAGAUGAGAUUGAAGAACAGUCUUCUUCAUCUCAGAGGACAUCUGCAUCUUAUCAAGAUCAGUCUUCUACAUCACAGAGAACAUUCGUAUCUUAUCAAGAACAGUCUUCUACAUCACAGAGAACAUUCGCAUCUUAUCAAGAACAGCCUUCUACAUCACAGAGAACAGUCGCAUCUUAUCAUGAACAGCCUUUUACAUCACAGAGAACAUCUGCAUUUAAUUGAGUUGCAUUACAAACUAGGCGUAUACGAUUAAAAAUUGAUAACAUAUAUAUUCAAGAUAAACGUCGCUAGACUUCUUAGAGAUGAAUCGCAUAAGUUUAUAGGAGAUUUAUUAACACGUUACAAUACUGACAAUCGCUUUAGAGAUCUUGAAAGAUUGAAUAAUAUUGAAACGCAGAAUUUUUGAAAAUAUUCUAUUGAAUACAUUUAAAAAUUUCAUGAGAAUUGUAUCCAUGUGUGAAAGAAGAGUGAUUUUCCUAACUAUCUUGAGAUCCUUUUUAGAGGACAGUAGUACUUACAGCGGCUAUACAUUUGUUGGUAUAUUACUGAUGUUUCACGUUUGCUAAUCAAAAAAAAAAAAAAAUAUUGCAGCUAUCACGAAAUGUAAAAUAAGUCAAUC